rnacentral:lncRNA from 1 species
GUCAUCGCCGCCCCCGGCCCCGACGCUGGCCUGCGGCGUCUGUUUGUGCAGAGCGAGGCCCCGCCGGCCGGGCUUGACGUCAGGCUGGCAGGGCCUGGAACGGCCCCGCAUCGCGGCCCCCUGGGGGCAGGACGACACCGCUGGGGGCCGAGGGCAGGGCACGCCUUCGGAAUCCGGCUUCGAAGCCGGCCGCCUGACCUGGGGCAAGUGCUUUCAACUCUCUGAACUUCGGUUCCUCAUCUGCCAGUUGGCAGACGCUCAGCAAAUCUUCCUAGACUCACGGGGCGAAUUGUACAGUUGGGUAAAUCGAGGCCCAGAGAUGGCAAAAGGACCGUCCAAGGUCGUACAGCCACCCGGAAUUACAAUUCUUUUCUGCCGGGUCACACGCUGUCAUCCACGUGUUACCUAAGAGAGCUUUCCAGCCUGUGCUAAGAAAACUGCCCCACAUCAUCUGCAGUAGGACGGGGGAGUUGGAGCCCUGGUCAGGCCACUCUGCUACUGACCACAGUUUUCUCAUCUCUAAAAAGGCGCAGUAACAAUAUAAUUACCGUAUGCAGUCCCCCAGGAUACAGGGUCAAAGGAGAGCACAACCAUCGCAGUUGGAAGCCCAUGGGGCAGAAGCAAGGUCUCGCUGUGUUACCCUGGCUGGAGUGCAGUGGCUACUUACAGGCAUGAUCAUAGCAUACUGCAGCCUCGAACUCCUGGACUAGAGCAGUUCUCCUGCCUCAGCCUCCAGAGCAGCUGGGACUGCAGACACGCACCACAGAGCCCAGCCUGAGUCAUUUUGAUUCUGUAACUGGCUUCCUCUCGGCGGGCAGGCUCACACCCUCCACCCCCAGCUGGAGAUGGAAGGAGGAUGCUCACCGCCCAUUCCUCAUGCAGGCCAUCGAUGGAAAUGUCAGACAGUGCGAGUCCACGCCUGAACACUUCUGGGGUCCGCUCUGGGACUGACACUGGCAGAUCCAUCGAUGCCGUUCCAUUGUUUGCUGACUUUCAUUGAUUCUAUGAGAAGUCUGCAGUCUUUUGCAGCGUUGUUUUCCUAUGUAUAAUUGUCUCCUCCCACCCCACUCACCCCAGCUGCUUUCCACAUUCUCUCUCUUUGAUUUUCAGCAGUCUGCCCAUGAUGUGCCUAAAUAGGACUUUCUUUGCAUUCAUCUUGGCUGGGGCUCACUGAACUUUCUGAAUCUGUAGAUUAAUUUUCUUUUUUCAAUAAACCUUGGAAUAUUUUCAGCAUAA